CGCAUCUGUGCAUGCAGCAUAUCAAUAAGCGGAGGAAAAGAAACUAACAAGGAUUCCCUUAGUAACGGCGAGUGAAGCGGGAAGAGCUCAAAUUUGAAAUCUUCGAGGUUUUACCUUGACGAAUUGUAGUUUAAAGAAGUGUUUUCUGUUGAAGUUUUGGUAAAAGUUCUUUGGAAUAGGACAUCAUAGAGGGUGAGAAUCCCGUAUUUGACCAUUAUUUUCAGCUGUGUGAUACACUUUCAAAGAGUCGGAUUGUUUGGGAAUGCAGUCCAAAAUGGGUGGUAAAUUUCAUCUAAGCUAAAUAUUGGCGAGAGACCGAUAGCGAACAAGUACCGUGAGGGAAAGAUGAAAAGAACUUUGAAGAGAGAGUUAAACAGUACGUGAAAUUGUCAAAAGGGAAGCGUUUGACACCAGUGUUGUUUUCUCGAAAAUCAAUUAAAAAGAGUUAGAUUUUGUUGUGUAUUGACCUUAACAGCUUGCAUUUCAAUUUUCUUGCUUUUUUUAAUGCACUUUUCGUUUAACAAGUCAACAUCAGUUUCUUUUGUUGUAAAAAGGUCAUUGGAAGGUGGCUUUCUUUUCGGAGAAAGUGUUUAUAGCCUUUGACUCCUGCAAUCGGAGAGACUGAGGUCUGCAGCGUAGAUCCUUCGGGGUUAGAUACAUUUGUGCUAAGUUAUAGCUUUUUAUAGACAACUUGUUGACUAUGAUUAGUCUUGUAGCUUACUCGCUUAUGCUAUUUUACCUACGCUUAGGAUGUUGAUCUGUACGCGCGUGCUCGAUCUAUACAUGACUCUGCGCAUAUCAAUAAGCGGAGGAAAAGGUACCUACGCUUAGGAUGUUGAUCUGUAGUGCGUGCGC
rnacentral:rRNA from 1 species